CUUGAAACACGGACCAAGGAGUUUAUUGUGUACGCAAGUCAUUGGGUGAUACAAAACCCAAAGGCGUAAUGAAAGUAAAGAGUGAGUAGAGAAAGAUUUUAAAAGGAUAAGAAUUUUUAUUUUUAACUUUGAUUUCUUUAUCUCUCUCUCAAGGGAAGAUGGAAAUCUUAUUUUAGAUUAAUAUUUAGUAUAUUUUUUUAUAUUAAGUAAAUUUAAAAUGUAGAUUUCUCGCAUUCCCAGGGCGCUUGUUUCUCGCUUUGCGAGUCUAUGCGCACCUAGAGCGUACACGAUGAUACCCGAAAGAUGGUGAACUAUGCCUGGCCAGGACGAAGCCAGGGGAAACCCUGGUGGAGGUCCGCAGCGAUUCUGACGUGCAAAUCGAUCGUCAGAGCUGGGUAUAGGGGCGAAAGACCAAUCGAACCAUCUAGUAGCUGGUUCCCUCUGAAGUUUCCCUCAGGAUA
rnacentral:rRNA from 1 species